UACGGGGGGAGCAAGCGUUGUUCGGAUUUACUGGGCGUAAAGGGCGCGUAGGCGGCCACCGCAAGUCGACUGUGAAAUCUCCGGGCUUAACCCGGAAAGGUCAGCCGAUACUGCGGGGCUAGAGUGCAGAAGGGGCAACUGGAAUUCUCGGUGUAGCGGUGAAAUGCGUAGAUAUCAGGAGGAACACCAAUGGCGAAGGCAGAUCUCUGGGCCGUAACUGACGCUGAGGAGCGAAAGCAUGGGGGAGCGAACAGG
rnacentral:rRNA from 1 species